UACAGAGGGUGCAAGCGUUGUUCGGAAUUAUUGGGCGUAAAGGGUGCGUAGGCGGUGCGGUAAGUCUGUAGUGAAAUCUCUGGGCUCAACUCAGAGUCUGCUAUAGAAACUGCCGUGCUUGAGUGUGGGAGAGGUGAGUGGAAUUCCCGGUGUAGCGGUGAGAUGCGUAGAUAUCAGGAGGAACACCUGUGGUGUAGACAGCUUACUGGACCACUUCUGACGCUGAGACACGAAAGCGUGGGUAGCAAACAGG
rnacentral:rRNA from 1 species